ACUCAAAUGAAUUGACGGGGGCUCACACAAGCGGUGGAGCAUGUGGUUUAAUUCGAAGCAACGCGAAGAACCUUAUCCAGGGCUUGACAUGCACGGAUCAACCCCGAGAAAUCGGGGCCACUCCCGCAAGGGCGGAACGUGCACAGGUGCUGCAUGGCUGUCGUCAGCUCGUGCUGUGAAGUGUCGCGUUAAGUCGCUUAACGAGCGAAACCCCUGCCGUUAGUUGCCAUCGGGUCAUGCCGGGGACUCUAACGGGACUGCCGGUGUCAAACCGGAGGAAGGUGGGGAUGACGUCAAGUCCUCAUGGCCUUUAUGCCCUGGGCUACACACGUGCUACAAUGGCGCCUACAAAGCGAAGCAAUGCCGCAAGGUGGAGCAAAUCGCACAAAAGUCGCCCCAGUUCAGAUUGGAGUCUGCAACUCGACUCCAUGAAGUUGGAAUCGCUAGUAAUCGCGCAUCAGCUACGGCGCGGUGAAUAUGUUCCUGAGCCUUGUACACACCGCCCGU
rnacentral:rRNA from 1 species